CCUACGGGCGGCAGCAGUGAGGAAUAUUGGUCAAUGGUCGCGAGCCUGAACCAGCCAAGUAGCGUGAAGGAUGACUGCCCUGCGUGUUGUAAACUUCUUUUAUAAGGGAAUAAAGUGUGGCACGUGUCCCCGUUUGUAUGUACCUUAUGAAUAAGCAUCGGCUAACUCCGUGCCAGCAGCCGCGGUAAUACGGAGGAUCCGAGCGUUAUCCGGAUUUAUUGGGUUUAAAGGGAGCGUAGGUGGGUUGUUAAGUCAGUUGUGAAAGUUUGCGGCUCAACCGUAAAAUUGCAAUUGAUACUGGCAGCCUUGAGUACAGUUGAGGUAGGCGGAAUUCGUGGUGUAGCGGUGAAAUGCUUAGAUAUCACGAAGAACUCCGAUUGCGAAGGUAGCCUACUGAACUGUCACUGACGCUGAUGCUCGAAAGUGUGGGUAUCAAACAGGAUUAGAUACCCUGGUAGUC
rnacentral:rRNA from 1 species